CAGCCGCCACGGGAAUAUGUAGGUGGCAAGCGUUGUCCGGAAUUAUUGGGCGUAAAGGGCUCGCAGGCGGUUUCUUAAGUCUGAUGUGAAAGCCCCCGGCUCAACCGGGGAGGGUCAUUGGAAACUGUUAAACUUGAGUGCAGGAGAGAAAAGUGGAAUUCCUAGUGUAGCGGUGAAAUGCGUAGAGAUUAGGAGGAACACCAGUGGCGAAGGCGGCUUUUUGGCCUGUAACUGACACUGAGGCGCGAAAGCGUGGGGAGCAAACAGGAUUAGAUACCCCUGUAGUCCCUGUCUCUUAUAC
rnacentral:rRNA from 1 species